rnacentral:rRNA from 1 species
UACGUAGGGUGCAAGCGUUGUCCGGAAUUAUUGGGCGUAAAGAGCUCGUAGGCGGUCUGUCGCGUCUGCUGUGAAAACUCGGGGCUUAACCCCGGGCCUGCAGUGGGUACGGGCAGACUAGAGUGCGGUAGGGGAGACUGGAAUUCCUGGUGUAGCGGUGAAAUGCGCAGAUAUCAGGAGGAACACCAGCGGCGAAGGCGGCGCUCUGGGCCGGAACUGACGCUGAGGAGCGAAAGCGUGGGGAGCAAACAGG